UACGUAGGGGGCGAGCGUUGUCCGGAAUUAUUGGGCGUAAAGAGCGUGUAGCGGUUCGGUAAGUCUGUCGUGAAAACCUGAGGCUCAACCUCGGGCGUGCGAUGGAUACUGCCGGGCUAGAGGAUGGUAGAGGCGAGUGGAAUUCCCGGUGUAGCGGUGGAAAUGCGCAGAUAUCGGGAGGAACACCAGUAGCGAAGGCGGACUCGCU
rnacentral:rRNA from 1 species